GGUCUAGCAUGGCGUAUUGGUUUGAGUGUUGGACUGCAAUUCUGGAGACUAGGGUUCAAUUCCCAGCUUGAUCU